rnacentral:rRNA from 1 species
UCGACCUGAGGUCAGGCARG